rnacentral:rRNA from 1 species
CCUACGGGAGGCAGCAGUUAGGAAUCUUGGACAAUGGGCGCAAGCCUGAUCCAGCCAUGCCGCGUGAGUGAUGAAGGCCUUAGGGUUGUAAAGCUCUUUCAGCGGGGAAGCGGUACCCGCAGAAGAAGCCCCGGCUAACUUCGUGCCAGCAGCCGCGGUAAUACGAAGGGGGCUAGCGUUGCUCGGAAUCACUGGGCGUAAAGCGCACGUAGGCGGCUUUCUAAGUCAGGGGUGAAAUCCUGGAGCUCAACUCCAGAACUGCCUUUGAUACUGGGAAGCUCGAGUCCGGAAGAGGUGAGUGGAACUCCGAGUGUAGAGGUGAAAUUCGUAGAUAUUCGGAAGAACACCAGUGGCGAAGGCGGCUCACUGGUCCGGACUGACGCUGAGGUGCGAAAGCGUGGGGAGCAAACAGGAUUAAUACCCUUGUAGUC